rnacentral:rRNA from 1 species
UACGGAGGGAGCUAGCGUUGUUCGGAAUUACUGGGCGUAAAGCGCACGUAGGCGGCUAUUCAAGUCAGAGGUGAAAGCCCGGGGCUCAACCCCGGAACUGCCUUUGAAACUAGAUAGCUAGAAUCUUGGAGAGGUCAGUGGAAUUCCGAGUGUAGAGGUGAAAUUCGUAGAUAUUCGGAAGAACACCAGUGGCGAAGGCGACUGACUGGACAAGUAUUGACGCUGAGGUGCGAAAGCGUGGGGAGCAAACAGGAUAGAAACCCUUGG